rnacentral:tRNA from 1 species
UUCCUGAUAGCUGAGCUAGUAAAGAAUCUGCCUAUAAUGCAGGAGACCCUGGUUAGAUUCUGGGUUGGGAAG